GUUGACCGGGCGUCCACACUAAGCACGGUGCCGAUAUGGAUGAUCUGUCAGAGGACGGUUUGUCCAGGUCGACUAAAGAGGGGCGCACCACCCCAGGUAGGAAACCCAGAAGGCAGAAGUCCCCACAUGUUGCGAUGGCGGGAUAGCGCCUGUGA
rnacentral:SRP_RNA from 1 species